ACCUGUGUCAGCAGAGCAGUGGGGCUGCGUCCUGUGGAAGAGCGCAGAGCGAGCGGGCGGGCGGGCGCGUUCCCCAGGGUACUGCGACUCCACUGGCUCCCCCACGUGACGGCGCUGCUAGCGUGAGCGCGUCCCGCUGGCUGUCCCGGCAGUGCCCCGUGCUGCCUGGAAGGCUCCGUCCUGGGCAAAGCAGAGGCGCUCGAGGAGGCCGCGCUGGGGAGGGUGGCCCGGCCCGGGGCGCCUCGGUCAUCGCGCGCAGGAGCCGCUUCCUUGGCUCGUUCCUUGGGCCCGCCCCCGCAAGGAGGGCAGGCUACAAGCACGGGCGUCCGGGGUCUCUGGUGGGUCCUUUGCCAGGGCAGGGCGCUGUAAAUGUACAUCUUCGCCUCCGGGUGCCGGAUAUUGCAGCAGCACUCAGACGACCAGCCGCGGUCAGGACUAGGCAUCACACCAACCUAGCGAGAGCCGGCCCCUGCCCCAAAGAGCUGACGCUCUAGGCCAAACCGACUGAAUUUGAUCGACUGCCAGAAAGCCACAGAGUGAAGCACGGCGCAGUACGGACAAACCUUGUUAGGUUUGUGUCCUGCCUCUCUCAUACCAGCUGACCUCUUACUGGGCUUAAAAUCUGCCCCCUCCCCCAUGUUACAGCAAAAGGGAAGAGACAAAAUGGAUUGUAAAACUACACAGAUUGACAAGUGAAGUAUAACAGUAUUUCUAUCUAUUUUGUAAGUGGACUAAAUUUUAACUUGCUAUCCUUUAAUGAUUAUGGUACUUUGAUAUCUUUAAAGAACAGAUUUGCUUAGCUAUCUAGCUACUGUUAGAGUAACCUCAGUGUCCACCUUAAGAAAGAUGUAUGCUCACUGGAAGGUGUUAAGAAGUCCCUUUGGUGUGAGAGCCACCAUGUCAGAGCAUGUAUAGGUGGUGCAAUAGAAUUGAUUCAACCACUAACCCUAGUAGUAAAGAAUAAUAAUCUUGCUGCUCCAGCAUUAUCUGUCUCAUUCAGAAAGUGCAACUGUGUCCAUCCAAGCAAACUAAACAGAGGAUCAGUUUUUCAUCUUACAAUAUAUUGAAACAAAUUGUAGGUGAAAAAGUAGCAAAAAAAUCAAUUUUAACAUGCUUUAUAAGUUUAUGUUCCUGGUUGGCUGCAUUGCCAAUCAUGAAUGAAAAUUAGGAUUUCAUUUCAAGAGUUACGUCAAUAAUUAUACAUACAUUUGCUUAACCCUUUUCCAUUAAGAAGUACAUAUUUUAAAUCAAUUUAAAAUAUAUAUACCUUUAUCCUUACACAAUGCAGUAAUUUCAUAAGCAAUAACUUUUUAAACCAGUAAAUAAGCAGUUAAGAGACAGAAGAGAGAGCAGUUUUUGUAAAAUACAUUUAUUUCAUAACAUUCUCUCUUUUUUUACAUGUGUUACUAAUUAAAGUGUUUUUAAAAAUUUUUCAAAGUCCUUUACUGAGGCCUUGGCAACCUCUGUACAAAACACCUCAUCGGGCAUGGAUACUAGCUUGUCCAGAGAGAUGUAGCUGGGCUGUGCUGGGUCAUACUGUG